rnacentral:tRNA from 1 species
GAAAUAUCCUACGUAAGCUUCUAACUUACACAAAAGCAUUAAAAAUGUUUAUAUUUCU